GGUAACGGACCGCUGUGAUCCCUUCGGGGUGAACUUGGUGCCGACGAGUGGCGGACGGGUGAGUAAUACUUAGGAAUCUGCCCAGUAGUGGGGGACAACACGGGGAAACUCGUGCUAAUACCGCAUACACCCUAAGGGGAAAAGUGGGGGAUCUUCGGACUUCACGCUAUUGGAUGAGCCUAAGGCGGAUUAGCUUGUUGGUGGGGUAAUGGCCUACCAAGGCAACUAUCCGUAGCUGGUCUGAGAGGACGAUCAGCCCCACUGGGACUGAGACACGGCCCAGACUCCUACGGGGGGCAGCAGUGGGGAAUAUUGGACAAUGGGGGCAACCCUGAUCCAGCAAUACCGCGUGUGUGAAGAAGGCCUGCGGGUUGUAAAGCACUUUCAGUAGAGAAGAAAAAACCAGAGGUUAAUACCCUCCGGUCUUGACGUAACCUACAGAAGAAGCACCGGCUAACUCCGUGCCAGCAGCUGCGGUAAUACGGGGGGUGCAAGCGUUAAUCGGAAUUACUGGGCGUAAAGUGCGCGUAGGCGGUCUGGUCAGUCGGAUGUGAAAGCCCUGGGCUCAACCUGGGAAUGGCAUUCGAUACUGCCCGACUAGAAUGUGGGGGAGGCAAGUGGAAUUUCCGGUGUAGCGGUGAAAUGCGUAGAUAUCGGAAGGAACACCAGUGGCGAAGGCGGCUUGCUGGCCCAACAUUGACGCUCAGGUGCGAAAGCGUGGGGGGCGAACAGGAUUAGAUACCCUGGUAGUCCCCGCCGUAAACGAUGAGA
rnacentral:rRNA from 1 species